rnacentral:rRNA from 1 species
CCUACGGGUGGCAGCAGUGAGGAAUAUUGGUCAAUGGGCGCGAGCCUGAACCAGCCAAGUAGCGUGAAGGAUGACUGCCCUACGGGUUGUAAACUUCUUUUGUCUGGGAAUAAAGUGCGGCACGUGUUCCUUUUUGUAUGUUCCAUAUGAAUAAGCAUCCGCUAACUCCGUGCCAGCAGCCGCGGUAAUUAGGAGGAUGCGUGCGUUAUCCGGAUUUAUUGGGGUUAAAGGGUUGGUAGGUGGGUAAUUAAGUCAGCGGUGAAAGUUCGUGGCUCAACCAUAAAAUGGCCGUUGAAACUGGUUGACUUGAGUAGAUUUGAGGUAGGCGGAAUGCGUGGUGUAGCGGUGAAAUGCAUAGAUAUCACGCAGAACUCCGAUUGCGAAGGCAGCUUACUA